rnacentral:lncRNA from 1 species
GCCAGAGCUAUCACACCUCCUUUUUACCGCCCGAGAGGGGAUAUAAGGGAGUUGUUCCAAUUAAAAUGACAUUAAUCGAAAUGGAAUUAUUUUAUUUAAUUUUUUAGAGUCGCCACUUGGAAUAAUUUAUUUGUUGGUGUCCCAAGUCACCAGUUUAUUUUUAAAUCCCAAAUCGAGGAAAGUAUCGACUUUAUUUAAAAGUUUGCGAACCAGAAAUUCUAGAUAAGGAAUUCUGUUAACUCGGGAGAAGGUGUUAAGCAUUCCCGAGUUUCGUGGUUCUAAUACGGUCGCUUAAACAAUUAAUAAUUGACCUAUUAUCUGAUUUACUACACAUUUAAAACCUAUUGUGCAUUUUUAACCUUAUAACCGCUUUUAAUUAUUUUUAUGGAAUUAUUCUGGAACAAUUCACGAUUGUCGUACACUUGUUUGUUUGAUACACAGUGUGAAUCAUGUCAGGGGAACCGUACCCACGAUCUACAUCAUGUUUAAUUUAUUAAAGUUAUUAGAAGUUGUGGUCGGGUCACAUAAAUGUACCCUCGGAUUUGGAAUUAGGUAUCACAGCUACGUCACAGGAACCGUACCUGUAGCUAUAAGGAUUUUAUUAUAAAUGCGCCUAAAGCAAACUACGAAUGUUCAAAAUGUUUUUUACACUAAGUUAUAAUAUUAAUGUGAGGGCCAUAGAUUAGGUGAUUCAAUUGUGAAUGGCACACCUCGAUUUAUUUUUGAAGGAUUGUACUCAACUAAAGCGAACUAAGGAUGUUCAUAUUUAAUACUAAUUUGAAAUUAGUAUAAAGCUAUAUACCCAUUAGGUUAUUUAGUCAGGGCCAAACCAACAUUGAAUUUGUAUUGGGCUCAGAAUUCAGCCCAAAAAUGAAAGAGAUUCAAGGCAUUUUGCUACAAAUUUAGCUAAUAGUGGCCAAAUUAGCUCAUUGAUAAGCUAUUUCUAUCGAGAACAGGUAUACAUGAAGAUGAUCAGCAAACAUGAUCAUUAGACAGCCCUUACUGAGAAUUAUAAGUCAAAUGGAACUCUACGUAUGCAUCACAAUUCACAUAAGAAUUUGCCAAACAAACAUGAUGUUAAGUGAAAAGUUGGCUAUCCCGCUAAGAAAUUCAGCAAGAAAACAAAACAAAGAUAUCCAACAACCUCCAAGGUUCCUUCUUACGAGUCAAAAUAAUCUAAUCACAAAAAGGUAAAUAGAAAAACCCAAGAUAGAUAUUAGAUACAAUACCAAGAAAUAUACAAUUAAACAUCAACAAAAUUUCACAGAGCGAGGGUGAAGUUUAACUCUAAAUGAAUAUUAACGCAGAUCAAAAGUCUUCUAGAAUUUAAGAAGAAAGCCAAAGUUCAAAUAAUAAACAGAAAAUUUUAGAGGCAUAAAUAGACAAGUGAGCAGAUUUCUUUCCGAUUAAUAGAAUUUCUGAGUUUGCAGCUCUGUUUAGUUAGAAAAAAAAUGAGCCAAACAUUGAGCAACGACCAAAAAAGAACUAACCGGACACGAACACGACGGAACCUCGAAUUGGCACCUCUGAUUUGCUUUGUGUCUGCGUGUUGUUCAUGUAUGUGGGGGUCGUCGUUUAUGGCAUUUUUCGGAGAGCUGUUAAGAACGGGAAGAAGCAGAAGCGACGAUGGGUGAAGGGAGGAGGGGAGUUUUGCUAUUGAUUUUCGCUGCUUAGAUUUCAAGUCUUGGAGACCAUUUUCAUUGAAGAAGAAAGGGAAAUGGUUGUUUGUAUGUUUGAUGAGAGCAGGGAGUCGUUGGUUUGGUUAAGAAUCAGCCAUGGAAAAUGGCUGCUUGAAGAAGAUGAUCGAUAGAGGGGGAUUUUGAUGUUGAAAAACGGCGGAUGAAAAAGUCUAAGGUCUAGGUCUAGGGGUCU